rnacentral:rRNA from 1 species
UACGUAGGGGGCGAGCGUUGUCCGGAAUCACUGGGCGUAAAGGGUCGGUAGGCGGCUGGUUAAGUCUCACGUCAAAGCCCCGGGCUCAACUCGGGAGCGGCGUGGGAGACUGGCCGGCUUGAGGCCAGCAGAGGCGAGUGGAACGUUGCAAGUAGCGGUGAAAUGCAUUGAUAUGCAACGGAACACCCAUGGCGAAGGCAGCUCGCUGGGCUGGUCCUGACGCUGAGCGACGAAAGCCAGGGGAGCGAAC